AUUGACCGCUUUCUUCCUUCCUUACACAUGCAAGUCGAACGGCAGCACGGGUGCUUGCACCUGGUGGCGAGUGGCGAACGGGUGAGUAAUACAUCGGAACAUGUCCUGUAGUGGGGGAUAGCCCGGCGAAAGCCGGAUUAAUACCGCAUACGAUCUACGGAUGAAAGCGGGGGACCUUCGGGCCUCGCGCUAUAGGGUUGGCCGAUGGCUGAUUAGCUAGUUGGUGGGGUAAAGGCCUACCAAGGCGACGAUCAGUAGCUGGUCUGAGAGGACGACCAGCCACACUGGGACUGAGACACGGCCCAGACUCCUACGGGAGGCAGCAGUGGGGAAUUUUGGACAAUGGGCGAAAGCCUGAUCCAGCAAUGCCGCGUGUGUGAAGAAGGCCUUCGGGUUGUAAAGCACUUUUGUCCGGAAAGAAAUCCUUGGCCCUAAUACGGUCGGGGGAUGACGGUACCGGAAGAAUAAGCACCGGCUAACUACGUG
rnacentral:rRNA from 1 species